UAAUACGUAGGGACCAAGCGUUGUCCGGAUUUAUUGGGCGUAAAGAGCUCGUAGGCGGUUCUGUAAGUCGAGUGUGAAAAAUCUGGGCUCAACCCAGUCGAGCACUCGAUACUGCAGUGACUGGAGUCCGGUAGGGGAGUGUGGAAUUCCUGGUGUAGCGGUGAAAUGCGCAGAUAUCAGGAGGAACACCAACAGCGAAGGCAGCACUCUGGGCCGGUACUGACGCUGAGGAGCGAAAGCGUGGGGAGCGAACAGG
rnacentral:rRNA from 1 species